rnacentral:rRNA from 1 species
UAGGGAAUCUUCCGCAAUGGACGAAAGUCUGACGGAGCAACGCCGCGUGAGUGAAGAAGGAUUUCGGUUCGUAAAACUCUGUUGUUAGGGAAGAAAAAAUGUAUAGUAACUAUAUACAAAAGAGACGGUACCUAACCAGAAAGCCACGGCUAACUACGUGCCAGCAGCCGCGGUAAUACGUAGGUGGCAAGCGUUGUCCGGAAUUACUGGGCGUAAAGCGCGCGCAGGUGGUUUAGAAAGUCUGAUGUGAAAGCCCACGGCUCAACCGUGGAGGGUCAUUGGAAACUAAUAAACUUGAGUGCAGGAGAGAAAAGUGGAAUUCCUAGUGUAGCGGUGAAAUGCGUAGAGAUUAGGAGGAACACCGGUGGCGAAAGCGGCUUUUUGGCCUGCAACUGACACUGAGGCGCGAAAGCGUGGGGAGCAAACAGG